AGUGAACGCUGGCGGUAGGCCUAACACAUGCAAGUCGAACGGUAGCACAGGAGAGCUUGCUCUCUGGGUGGCGAGUGGCGGACGGGUGAGGAAUACAUCGGAAUCUACUCUGUCGUGGGGGAUAACGUAGGGAAACUUACGCUAAUACCGCAUACGACCUACGGGUGAAAGCAGGGGAUCUUCGGACCUUGCGCGAUUGAAUGAGCCGAUGUCGGAUUAGCUAGUUGGCGGGGUAAAGGCCCACCAAGGCGACGAUCCGUAGCUGGUCUGAGAGGAUGGUCAGCCACACUGGAACUGAGACACGGUCCAGACUCCUACGGGAGGCAGCAGUGGGGAAUAUUGGACAAUGGGCGCAAGCCUGAUCCAGCCAUACCGCGUGGGUGAAGAAGGCCUUCGGGUUGUAAAGCCCUUUUGUUGGGAAAGAAAUCCAGCUGGCUAAUACCCGGUUGGGAUGACGGUACCCAAAGAAUAAGCACCGGCUAACUUCGUGCCAGCAGCCGCGGUAA
rnacentral:rRNA from 1 species